rnacentral:rRNA from 1 species
GACGAACGCUGGCGGCGUGCCUAAUACAUGCAAGUAGAAGCUAGUUGCGAACGGGUGAGUAACGCGUAGGAACCUGCCUCAUAGCGGGGGAUAACUAUUGGAAACGAUAUCUAAUACCGCAUCCUUUGAGAUGGACCUGCGUUGUAUUAGCUAGUUGGUGAGGUAACGGCUCACCAAGGCGACGAUCCGUACCUGGUUUGAGAGGACGACCAGCCAAACUGGGACUUAGACACGGCCCAGACUCCUACGGGAGGCAGCAGUGGGGAAUAUUGGACAAUGGGGGAAACCCUGAUCCAGCCAUCCCGCGUGUGCGAUGAAGGCCUUCGGGUUGUAAAGCACUUUUGGCAGGAAAGCGGUACCUGCAGAAUAAGCACCGGCUAACUACGUGCCAGCAGCCGCGGUAAUUC